GCUGGCGGCACGCCUUAUACAUGCAAGUCGAACGCAGUAGCAAUACUGAGUGGCAGACGGGUGAGUAUAAUGUGGGAAUCUGCCUUUUGGUUUGGAAUAACUCGGGGAAACCUGAGCUAAUACUGGAUAAGCCCUUACGGGGAAAGCUUUACGCGCCAAAAGAUGAGCCCGCACUUGAUUAGCUUGUUGGUGAGGUAAAAGCUCACCAAGGCAACGAUCAAUAGCUGUUCUUAGAGGAAGACCAGCCACAUUGGGACUGAGACACGGCCCAGACUCCUACGGGAGGCAGCAGUAAGGAAUCUUGCACAAUGGGGGAAACCCUGAUGCAGCGAUGCCGCGUGAGUGAAGAAGGCCUUUGGGUUGUAAAACUCUUUCGUCGGGGAAGAAAAUGACUGUACCCGAAUAAGAAGGUCCGGCUAACUUCGUGCCAGCAGCCGCGGUAAUACGAAGGGACCUAGCGUAGUUCGGAAUUACUGGGCUUAAAGAGCUCGUAGGUGGUUAAAAAAGUUGGUGGUGAAAUCCCAAGGCUCAACCUUGGAACUGCCAUCAAAACUUUUUAGCUUGAGUAUGAUAGAGGAAAGUGGAAUUUCUAGUGUAGAGGUGAAAUUCGUAGAUAUUAGAAAGAACACCAAAUGCGAAGGCAACUUUCUGGAUCAUUACUGACACUGAGGAGCGAAAGCAUGGGUAGCGAAGAGGAUUAGAUACCCUCGUAGUCCAUGCUGUAAACGAUGUGUGCUAGACGUUGGAAAUUUAUUUUUCAGUGUCGCAGCAAAAGCGUUAAGCACACCGCCUGGGGAGUACGA
rnacentral:rRNA from 1 species